UACGGAGGGGGCUAGCGUUGUUCGGAAUUACUGGGCGUAAAGCGCACGUAGGCGGCUUUGUAAGUCAGAGGUGAAAGCCUGGAGCUCAACUCCAGAACUGCCUUUGAGACUGCAUCGCUUGAAUCCAGGAGGGGUCAGUGGAAUUCCGAGUGUAGAGGUGAAAUUCGUAGAUAUUCGGAAGAACACCAGUGGCGAAGGCGGCUGACUGGACUGGUAUUGACGCUGAGGUGCGAAAGCGUGGGGAGCAAAC
rnacentral:rRNA from 2 species